GGCUCGGUAGUGGAGGGUCCGCAUCUGCUUUCAAUGAUUGUUUCCCAUAGCACUAUGCAGCAGAGUAAGCCUGUUCGACUCAGGCCCGAGCCA